rnacentral:tRNA from 1 species
GCAUCGGUGGUUUAGUGGUAAAAUUAGCCGUUGCCAAGGAAUCAGUACUGAUUACCAGCUGUCGGCUAGCCCCGGGUUCGAUUCCCGGCCGAUGCA